UAUCAUCUUUAUCCUCUUCAGUUAUGGUAGAGGUCUCCUUGACCUCUCCAGCCUAACCCGUGGCAGCAUUACAGUUGCACGUGCGUUAAAGGGAAACAAAACAAACUGUAGCGUUAGGGGUGUAUUGACUAUUGAGUGGCACAACUAUUUUGUUGAAUUGCAUGGUGAUUCAGACUAGUUUUACUUAAAGAGACUCGGGUGGGAUCCAUCUGAACUGGAUUCAACCCACUCUCGAGAAAACCUCAAGUGCCUAGUAAAAAUAAUUGUUACUUCACACCAGCCAACACUUUUUAAGGCAAAUUAUAAGCAAACAAAAUACCCCUCCUCCAUAGAUUUGACUUAUAAAUUUGUUUCAUACUUCACACCAGCCGUUUUUGGUUGUUAUAACUUAUAAGUGUUGUUCUGAAUUUCGUUUGUGAUUUAAAGAGGCGGGGGCCUUAGUGGGUCUUCUUCCUCUUUUGCCCCCAACGAACAAGGUAGUGGCUGGCUGCCACAGAAGCUUGAGGUGAGGAAGAAGAGAAGGAGAAUGUCUAUGAAGAGCAAGGGAGCAUGUGUAGAAGUGAGUGGAAGGAAUGUCUUACAUAGGAAAUGGGCUCUUCUGCUUUGUGUGGCAAGCUUCUGUGCUGGAAUGUUCUUUACCAAUAGCCCUGCUUGUUUGAGAACACAUAUCCAACUAUGAAGCUGGGUUUAUAAAUUAAAUGUUCACAAUCUCUGCCUUUAUUAUCAGAAACUGAAGGAUAUGGUCGAUGGCUGAAUAUAAAGAAAUUUCGAGGGCUUCUACUGAGAUUGAAAGAAUAAAACUAAACUCUGAGGGCUGUAAUCUAAAUCUAGUAAGUAUAUCAGUUACACUUUUACUUAUGUUGUAUUUUUGCUAUGAUUCUGUGUUGGACUUUCCCCCUAUCCCAUAUUAUAGAUAAUAGACUGUCAUUGACUGCUACUGGAAUUUAUAACAACCUUAAAAGUACCCUCCCCAUGGAAUGAUCAGGAAAUACUACUGGUUAGUUCAUUAUUUGUAUACACAUGCAUAAUGGAAUGGGGGAAAUGUCACUAAUGGACCUUUGUUUUUGGUAACUGUAUUCAUUGGGGGUGAAUGUUCCUUCAGAAUUAAGCUGCCAAGUGCAUGCCUAAGGUAGUGUUUGUAUAAUAAGAAACUCCUCUAAUUAGUUUCUAUAGAAGUUUUCUCUUUUGGGUCUUGUUCAUUAAAAAAAGGAUACAUUUAUUUUUAAGAGCUUUACAAGGAUUGUAUUUGGCCCAACUUCUCCUUUUAAGGAGAAGACAGCAACAACAAGAAAACCUUAUCCCACUAAGUGAGGUUGGCUACAUAGAUUACACGAUACCAUUCGGCAGGUUAAAAACCAAAGUAUGUUGGGCCAAAUGUUACGUAUUCUUGUCUCUGAUAUGCCAUCUCAUUUGGAUUUGAAUUUUGGACAACAGGCACAUGCCACCAAUACAUUGUAUUUACUUAAAUUUAAUUUAAUUAAAAUAUUAACAAGGGAAGAAAGGGUUGAACUCUUGCUUGGCUGAGAAGGUUCUGGACCAAUUAUUUCAAAAGAUUAGGUAUUAGGUGCAAAGCAAGAGUGCUUUUUAUCUCACACAUAUUUUACUCUAGUGGGUUUUGAAAUUUAGUAUAGAUAAAGUUCAAAUCUCAGGCAUAUAUGAUAUAACUACUAGCUGCAUCUUCUGUUAUUUAUGAAAGAAAGAUCAUGGCAUGUUCUGCUUGAUCUUUUGCCUUUGUCCAAAGGUUGUAAGGCCUAGCUCCAAUUACAGUCAAGUGGAAGUUUCAAAUACACAGAAUGUUGUCAAGAAACCAAGUAAGACAAUAUCUACUUUGGAGCUGAAUCUUAAAUUUGCUUCACUACUUGGUUUAUGCUGAAUGGUUGUGCUGUAUUUCGGAAACCAGAGACAUUUGAAUCAACUCCAAGGAAAAAAUAUUUCAUGGUUAUAGGGAUCAAUACAGCUUUUAGUAGCAGGAAGCACAGAGAUACUGUUCAUGCAACUUGGAUGCCACAAGUUGUGGAAAGAAAGAAGUUGGAGGAAGAAAAGGGCAUAAUCAUACGAUUGGUCACGGGUCAGAUUUCCUGAUAUUCAAUGUUCUUUUUUGGUGUGUUUACCUGAUAAUUAUGUUGCACUUAAUUUCUCAUAUGAUCUGAUCAUAAGAACCUUGUUUUGUGGCCUAACCAUCAAAUUGUAUUUAACAGAUACUUGUUGUUCUUAUUAGAAUGAAUAGGACAGCAUAUAGAUGGAUGUUUGUAACUAUCAGAAAGAAAUGAUCAGCUACAGCUUGCAGCUUUUAUUCAUUAAUGGUGAAGCUUAUAUACAUCUGCAACUUGAAUUCUGUUACAACUGAAAAGCUAACUAACUAAUUCAGCCAACUAACUAACUAUUUCUGUUAAAGCUGUUUAUACUGCUAAGAGCCCCCCUCAAGUUGGGAAUGGAUAUUCAUCAUUCCCAGCUUGUUACAAAGGUGCUGAAAGGUGGCUGGUCGUAAAGCUUUGGUGAAUAUGUCCACAAGUUGCAUGGAGGAUGAGACCGGAAGGAGCUUGACGAGACCCGCAGUGACUUUGUGGCGGAUAAUAUGACAAUCGAUCUCGAUAUGCUUGGUGCGUUCAUGGAAAACGGGAUUUGUUGCUAUCUGAAUUGCAGAUUGGUUAUCACAAUAUAAAGUGGCUGGCUGAAUAAAUGCUACACCAAUGUCUUGGAGAAUAUACGUUAACCAUUGCAGCUCACAGGCAGUAGAUGCGAGAGCUCGAUACUCAGCUUCGGAGGAGCUGCGGGAGACGGUGGACUGUUUCUUUGAUUGCCACGAAAUGAGUGAAGAACCCAGAUAGACAAGGAACCCUGUGGUGGAUUUUCGAGAGUCUUUACAACCCGCCCAAUCCGAAUCACUGAAGGCUCGGAGUUGGGGAGUCCCGGUUGCUGCGAAGAAGAGCCCGGAUCCUAGUGAACCCUUGAGGUAUCUCAAUAUGCGAAAAGCAGCUUGAAGAUGAGUGGUGGUAGGAGCCGACAUGUACUGGCUGAGUUGUUGAACAGUGUACGCAAUAUCUGGGCGAGUGUUGGUGAGGUAUAUUAGUCUUCCUAUUAGUCUUCGAUAGGAAGAUGAGGACUCGUCAGAAAGGGAAUUCCCUGAGUGCAUCUGCAAUUUCAUGGAAUAAUCCAUGGGUGUCGAGUGUGGCUUGCAACCUAGCAUACCUGAAUCAGACAAAAUGUCUAAGGCAUAUUUUCGUUGGCAUAAAUGAAUUCCAUCAUUGGUGCGGGCAAUCUCGAGUCCCAGAAAGAACUUCAAGUCACCAAGGUCUUUUAUUUUGAAUUCUUGAUCCAGGAGGGUGGUGAUAUCUUGUAUUUCCAGCAUACUGUUCCCCGUGAGUAUGAUAUCAUCGACGUACACCAAGAGUAUGGUAGUGGCUGACUUAGUGACUUUUAAGAAGAGAGAGUGGUCCGAGUUAGAUUGCUGAAACCCAUGGGAGACUAAGAAACUCGAUAGCUUUGUGAACCAUUGUCGGCUGGCUUGUUUAAGCCCGUAGAGAGACCGUUGAAGACGACAAACAAGCUUCGGGUUUUCAACUUCAAGGCCAGGUGGAAUUUUCAUAUACACUUCCUCUUCAAGCUCUCCAUGGAGGAACGCAUUGUUGACAUCCAAUUGUCGCAAGUGCCAUUGAUUUUGCGCUGCCAAUGCGAGAAGAACACGAACGGUGGUGAGUUUUGCCACCGGAGAGAAUGUGUCGAGGUAGUCUAACCCCUCCAUUUGAGUGUAACCUUUGGCGACCAAGCGUGCUUUAUACCUUUCUAUGGAACCAUCAGCCCGGUAUUUAAUCUUGUAAAUCCAUCUGCAUCCGAUAGCUGCCUUGUGAGGAGGAAGAAGUGUGAGUCUCCAAGUGUUGUUCAUCUGCAAAGCUUGUAACUCGGCCUUCAUUGCCUUAACCCAGCAGUCAUGGCGAGAGGCUUCGGCAUAUGAUGAAGGUUCUGUGGCUGGUGAGAUGGUCAUCACGAAGUUCCUAUGGGCAGGUGAGAGGCGCGAGUAUGAAAGUACUGAGCUUAGUGGAUAACGAACAAUCACUGAAGCUUCUGGUGUAGAUGAAGCAAGGACUCUGUGGUAAUCCUGAAGGUAUGUCGGGGAAUGUCUUGAUCGUGUUGAACGCCUAGGGUGUGAAGGGUCUUGUUUGGUUGAAUGUUCAUCACAGGAGUGUAUUGGUAUUAUGGGUUGUGAUGAGUGGCUUUCUUCUGGUGGGUCAAGCUCUUUGCCGGAAAAGGGUUUCGGAGAUGGAGAUGGGAUUGAGUUAUCUAAGUUUAAAUGUUGGGUUUCAGGCAGGUAUGGAAAAUGAUUUUCGUAAAAAGUAACAUUUCUAGAUAUUGCAACAUCGUGAGAAUGCAAAUCAUACACAAGAUAUCCUUUUGUAUGAGUUUUGAAACCAAUGAAAAUGCAUGGGUGUGCCCUGGGAUCAAAUUUUUGCCGAUUUGCUUUGAUUGUGUUGAUAUAACACAAACAUCCGAAGACACGGAGAUUAGAUAUAUCACAGGGAUGUUUAUGCAGUUUUUCGUAAGGUGAAAUGUUAUUUAAGAAUGGUGUGGGAAUGCAGUUGAUUAGAAAUGCAGCGUGCGGCAAAGCAUAACACCAAAAAGCAGGUGGCAAGUUUGCCUGAAAGAGGAGUGCUCGUGUGACAUUGAGCAAGUGUUGAUGUUUGCGUUCUACGAUACCAUUUUGCUCUGGGGUUUCGACACACGUGGUUUGGUGUACGAUCCCCUUUGAUGCAUAAUAUUCAUGCAUGAGAAACUCUACGCCAUUAUCACUCCUUAUAGUUUUGACCUUGCCGUUAUAUUGUCUCUCAAUGAAAGCAAUGAGGUUGAUGAUUAUAUGUCGCGUUUCCGCUUUAGAUUUCAUAAGAUGUAUCCACGUGAAUCUCGAGUGAUCGUCUACAAUGGUUAGGAAGUAUUUAUGACCAUGCAUGGACAGCUUUGAACAUGGACCCCAUAUAUCCAUAUGCAGUAAAUCAAAGGAAUGAGAUGCAUGCGAGUUGCUAGAUGAAAAAGGGAUUUUCUUGUGCUUUGCAUAGUGACACGUGUUGCAGACCAAAUUUUUAUCAUUGCUCAAAAGAGGAUAAUAGUUUUUCAUACAUUGUAGCCUUUCAUUCGAUGGGUGUCCCAUUCUAAAAUGCCAUAGGUCUAUGGGGAUGAUGCUGCAUCUAGGAUGAGUAAGGGUAGAGUAGAUGGCUUUGGUAGUUAUCUGGUUUGGUAUCAAAUGAUAGAGGCCAUGCUUUGCUUCAACUAUACCAAUCUUCAUAUGAUUGUUCGCUUCCUGCAACACGCACGAUGUAGAAGAAAAGAUUAGUUCAUAAUUAUUAGAAGAUACGAGUUUUGAUAUUGAAAUAAGAUUGAAUGUGAAAGUGGGUAUGUAGAGCACGUUAUGUAAGAUUAAAUUGGAUGAAAGAUGUACGGUUCCUGUGUGAGUAGCAUGAACGAGAUUACCAUUUGGAAGCUUCACUGUGAUCGGGUGGAUUUGCGUGUAGGAAUGGAGAUUAUGCAAAGAACAGGUUACGUGAUCCGUUGCUCCCGAAUCUAGGAUCCAGGAGGUGUGAUGUGUUUGGGUAGAGAGUGAAUUACCUGGGUUUAAUGGUGUGUUAACAGUGCACGAGGAAACUGAUGCAACUUGUUUGGACUGCGCCGUGCUUCCUGCCGGCGGCUGCUGGAUUAAGGCAAGUAAUGCCUUGUACUGCUCAGGGGAGAAGUGAACAACCUCUUGUGACUCAUGUUGCUGAGCUUCAUCAUUUGUAGCUUUAUCUUCCAUUGUUAUCACGUUGUUUACGGUGGUUCUUCCACUAUAGGGUUUGUAUCCCGGCGGGUAUCCAUGUUUCCGGUAACAAACAUCUACUGUGUGCCCAAACUUGCCGCAAUGGGUACACGUCUUUCUUCCAUUGUUAUUCUUGUUUCUUCCAUCAUAACUUGCAGGCACCCCAUGCUUCUUAUAACAAGCACUUUCUACAUGACCAAUGCGCCCACAGAAAUCGCAAGUUGUCCUCGUCGCGUUUAUGGAGAUGUCCUUGGGUUCGAAGUUGAUGUUUGGUCCUGCGUGCCCCAGCAGUUGUCUUUCUUGUUGAGCUACAUAAGAAAAGAUUUUGGAUAUGGCAGGUAUAGGAUCCAUGAGAAGCACGUGAGAACGAAUGUUAGUGUACUGUUCGUUCAAACCUCGUAAGAAUUGCAUGGCUCUAUCUUCAAGCUUGCGUUGAGUGAUGAUGGUGAAAGCAGCGCAUGAGCACCUGAUGUUGCACGAGCAGACCGAAUCAGGUCUGAAAUUCUCAAUCUCGUCCUAGAUCACACGCAGACGAGUAAAGUACUCCGUGACUGAAAGUGAACCUUGCUUCAUCGUUGAUGCCUCUUGCUGAAGGUCGGAGAUUCGCAGAAGAUCUCCCUGCGAAUACCGUGACUUCAAAUCUCGCCAAAUCUCCUCAGCUUUGUCCAUCCAGAGUAUACUCUGCCGUAUGGAUGUGGCCACCAAGUGUACUAUCCACGAUACGACCAUAUUGUUGCACCGGCGCCAAGCUCCAUAGGUUCUAUCUGUCUUCAACGGUUCAGGUGCGCUUCCGUCAAUGAAUUCCACUUUGUUCUUGGCACUCAGCGCAGUAACCAUGGACCUACUCCAUGAAUGGUAAUUGGUUGAGUCUAAUACUGGGGAAACGAGAGCUAUGGCCGGGUUCUCGCUUGGAUGAAGGUAUAGGUAGCUUUCUGUAUUAUUGAUUGAAACUUCAUUCAUGGUGGAUAGUUGAGAAAAGAGGAAGAAAGGUAUGCGCAGCAGAACUCUCCGUUAGAAGAGCUCUGAUACCAUAUUAGAAUGAAUAGGACAGCAUAUAGAUGGAUGUUUGUAACUAUCAGAAAGAAAUGAUCAGCUACAGCUUGCAGCUUUUAUUCAUUAAUGGUGAAGCUUAUAUACAUCUGCAACUUGAAUUCUGUUACAACUGAAAAGCUAACUAACUAAUUCAGCCAACUAACUAACUAUUUCUGUUAAAGCUGUUUAUACUGCUAAGAGUUCUCUCAUUCUGAUGCAAGCUGUGUUUAUUUCUAUCCAACAGGAUUGCUUUUUAUUGUGUUGAUUGGUAGUAUACUCAUUCUUUUAGUAGAGGGGACUAAAAUAAUUAUUGUCAAAAAUCAAUGACACAAUGUCAUGAAACCUUGGGGUCAUCCAUGAUGAAUUCCUAUAUGGUUGGUUGAAUUCAUAUUUCCUUGUGAUGUUAAAUGAACGAUAACCUAGAGAUUUAAUUAGCCUUUUUGGUCUAUAGUUCUACAUCUGGUGCAUUCUUGACAAAGCUAUUGAAGUAGAGGAGAGGCUUCAUGCUGACUUUUUGAGGCUGAACCACAUUGAGGGAUACCUAGAACUAUCAGCUAAGACAAAGAUCUACUUUUCAAUUGCUGUUGCCUUGUGGGAUGCAGAAUUUUAUGUCAAAGUUGACGAUGUUCAUGUGAAUUUAGCAACACUUGGAUUGGCUCUGACUAUGCAUCGUAGGAAACCUCGGGUGUAUAUUGGGUGCAUGAAAUCUGGUCCUGUCCUUGCUCAGAAGUAACAAAACCUGUAUUUUAUUUUCUUAAGUUAUAGUUUAUAUCCACUUGCUAGUGUAACUGUCUUACCACAGGGGAGUGAAAUACCAUGAACCAGAAUACUGGAAGUUUGGAGAGGUGGGAAACAAGUACUUCCGUCAUGCUACAGGACAAUUAUAUGCCAUUUCACAAGAUUUGGCUGCUUAUAUAUCGAUAAAUCAGGAUGUGCUGCAUAAAUAUGCU